AGGUGCGCGCUUUGUUUACAUUAUCAGUCCCACGUGUAGCUGUCAGUUUGUAAGUCGGAGCUCACUGACAGGGUUACCUGAGGCGCAAAUUACCCGUUGUCUCUUAUUUCUCACAGGGACAACUACAUAUAAGCACUAAGUGACAAAUCAGAGUCUAUUGACUGUUUUGUGACAUUUUGCAGCGCUCCAUAAAGCAUGUGAGGAGACAUCUUGGGAACGUAUGAGAAGAUGAUGAGGACUUUUGUUCAGCAGAUGGGACUGUUUGUGUGUAGGAGCUGCGCUGGUUCGAAUGCUGGGAGGCAAGUCAUUUCUGCUGGUUGUUUCCGUGUUGGAAUCCCAGUGACAAGGAGAGCAGGUUACAGGGGGAACACAGCUUGGCAGAAACUUUUAGAUUCAGAAAGGAGACGCUGGCAAAGGGCAUCUGCAAAGUACCAAGGUUUGGUAACGACGCUGGAAAAGCGGUUAGGGUAUAUGCAUGAGCAUUAUUCCAAUCUUGAGGCAAAGGGAAUGAUCCGAUAUGAUGACUACACCUAUUUUGAAGAGAAUGGCUGCAUAUACCGCUGUAAACAGAAUACUGGUGAAGAUAGCCUUGAGGUUUUGCUGUCGUCAGAAGACGUUGGAUUAGGGGAUUAUGAAAUCCAGAAGAUUAGAGUCUCCCCUAAGCAGAAGUUUAUGGCUGUAACUUUAAAAGGCUACGAAAGGGAAGAAUCUACCUGCAUCGUUGUAAAGCUGGACAGUGGGGCGCAAGUAACGCAUUGUAUAGAAAAUGUUUUCAGUUGUGAGUGGGCGACAGAUAGUGUCUUACUGCACACGAGGCAAGCCAAUCUCCAGUGUCGGCAGGUCUAUCGAAUUGACUUCACUAAUGCCAGCGGGGCUGCUGAACUAGUCUACACUGAAAAUGAUCCCAGGUUUUUCGUGGAUCUAUACUGCACCAGAGACAAGCGAUUUCUUACCAUAAAUAGUAACAGUAAAAGUACCACAGAGGUGUGGCUGCUUGAUAAUAGCUGCCCAUUGGAACCUCCUGUUCUAGUAGAGAAGAGAGUCCCUGGAGUUAUUUACUACAUAGAGCACAGCAAUGGCUGCCUGUAUAUGCUCUGCCAUGAUGGGGGAGCUACAGAAUACAAGCUAUUAAAGGCAUCUGUAUCUUCUCAAAUGAAACGUUGGGAUCCGGUUUAUGAGGUACAAGAAGGCACAAAGCUUGUAGACAUGGAGAUUCUAAAGGAUCAUUGUGUUCUGUUCCUGAAAAACCACAACCAGCUCUUUCUGGAAGUCAUUGGGCUCCCCAGUGGGGCCGUGAUUCAGUCUGUCAUGCUACCAGCUUGGGCCUGUGCACUGGAACCGGAUCAUCAGCCAGAAUACGGAGCCGGCACCUUCAGCUUCUCCAUUUCCUCCCCAGUACACCCUCCAGUUCAUUGCAGGUACUCUCUGAGGACCAAUGAGUUGUCAGUGGAUGCCGGCCAUAGCUCUAAGGGAAUGCAGCAGUUUUGUUCCCUGCGGUUAGAAGCCAAAAGCAAGGACGGCACAAUGGUACCACUUACAUUGUUUUACAAGGAGGGCAGUAAGGAGAUGAAGCAGCGCCCCUUACUCAUCCAUGUUUAUGGGGCUUAUGGGAUGGAUUUAAAUAUGAGCUUCAAAGUGGAGAAACAAAUGCUGGUUGAAGAUGGAUGGAUACUGGCUUAUUGCCAUGUAAGAGGUGGUGGUGAAUUGGGGUUUAAGUGGCACAAAGAGGGCAUUCUGGAUAAGAAGCACAAUGGCCUGGAAGAUCUCCGCUCAUGUAUAUCCCUCUUGCACAGCCUUGGUUACUCCCAGGCACAAUACACAGCGGUGGAAGCUGCCAGUGCAGGAGGUGUUCUGGCCGGAGCUCUGUGCAAUUCCAGUCCUCAUCUCAUUCAAGCAGUGCUAUUGGAGGCACCUUUCUUGGAUGUUCUAAACACAAUGAUGGACGUGUCAUUGCCCCUGACCAUCGAGGAGCAAGAAGAGUGGGGCAAUCCAUUAUUCAAUGAAAAAUACCACAAAUAUAUAAAGAACUACUGCCCUUAUCAGAAUAUCAAACCCCAGAGUUCUCCUUCUGUUCUGAUAACAGCCUAUGAAAAUGACCAGCGUGUUGCAAUAAAGGGAUUGGUUGGAUACAUUACAAAACUAAGGAAAGCUGCUAAGGACUUUUGCCAUAAAUCCAGAAUAUCGGGUAAUAAUCUAGGAUUCCUCAUAUAUAUCUAGAUGUUCAGCCAGGUGGCAGCCAUUGCGAUUCAUUAUCAUGGGAGGAUUUACAGAAAAAGGUAGCAACACAUCUUGCUUUUCUGCACGGGGAGCUUAACCAGGAUGUACCACAUGGCCGCAGAAGCUGAUACACUUUUUCCUAUUCC